rnacentral:rRNA from 1 species
ACGCUCGACACCUACGGUAGGCAGCAGUGGGGAAUAUUGCACAAUGGGGGAAACCCUGAUGCAGCGACGCCGCGUGAGCGAAGAAGUAUCUCGGUAUGUAAAGCUCUAUCAGCAGGGAAGAAGAUGACGGUACCUGACUAAGAAGCACCGGCUAAAUACGUGCCAGCAGCCGCGGUAAUCUGAGCGGGCUGGCAAGGC